UUCUCCACAUAAUUUUUAUUAAUGUUCUUCACCAGAACCAUUGUAUUAAGCUUUAUAAAUGAGCAUUAUGUUAAGUAUUAAAACAUUGUCUUGACCAACUUUAUGGUCAGUACAGGGUCAGAGGAGAACGUGGACAUUGCACGUUUAAUGUUCUCAGUUGGUGGCACAGGGAGAAGCAGUUUCAUUUCAGGAAAAAGUGUCCACAAUCAAAGAAUAGAAGGACUGUGGAGAGAUGUGUGGACUGCAGAGACCAGUGUGUACUAUGAUGUACUACACUAUCUUGAGGAAGCCAGCUACCUUCAUACUGCAGACCAAACACAUCUCUUCUGUUGCACUACACAUUCCUUCCAAGGCUACAAGAUGAUCUAAAUCUUUUCUGAGAUGGGUGAGAUAAUCACCCUUUACGAACAGAACACAACACGUCUCCAAACCAGCUCUGGGAAUUGGGUCAAAUUCAUUAUCCAGUUGAUGAUCCCCGAGAUGAAGAGGAACUGAACAUUGCUGAUAUUGAUUGGGAAAGCAGUGGAUUGACUCCUGAUGAAAGUGUUGGUGUUAAUGUUCUACUGUAGAAUGUCCUCUUACACCAGAGCAACUUGCAGCACUGAAGGACACAGUGGAUCCAAGAUCACCAUCACAAUCCCACGGGAUAGACAUUUACACGGCUGCAGUGCAGUUUUGCCAGUCACUU